UUCAAAACACACACGUUUAAAUACAACAGUGGGUUUGGAAAUUACAUAUAGAAACAGAUCGAUAUCGGUCACGUUCCGUUUCACGAGCGACCCGUUAGUGUUUGGACUCGCGAGGAAACAAGACCACACGAUUUUAUAGCGUUCACGACACUGAAAGGAUUAUUUCAGAAUUUGGACAAGAUGGUGGGAGUAACUUUGAAGUAUGGUCAAUGCAGGAGAUGAAACACCGUUACCUAUGAUCUAGAUAAGGUCAAGCCCAUAAUCUCGGCCAUAUCUUUAGCUGGUCACAAGGUCACUGUUCAGAAAUCGCCAAAGUUUGGGAUCUGUGCCGUGUACGUUGAUUCCAAAAUGGUUUGGUCAGGUGACAUUGCUAGGUUACAAAAAGGUAAAGAUGCUUGCGAUCAAAUGUGUGCAGCGGCUGUAAAAGCUAUUGGGGCAUCACAGUCAUCGUAAUAUCUUGAUGUAAUGUGAUGCAGUAGGCCCAUAUCUCCAAUGACGGUUCCUUCUUAAACAGAAGACGGGAGGGAACUUGAAGUUCUGAGAAUGUGGAAAUAAAAUGAAUAUAGAUUAUCUAUCA